rnacentral:rRNA from 1 species
CAUUACCGAAUCGUCAAACACGGGUUGUUGCUGGCCCCCAAAAGGGGCACGUGCACGCUCUGUUUACGCAUCCACUCACACCUGUGCACCCUCUGUAGUUCUGUGGUUCGGGAGACCCUGUCUGCCUUCCGUAGCUCUACGUCUUUACGCACACGCCUCAGUGAUGUCUUAUGGAAUGUUUUACUGCGUUUAACGCGAUACAAUACAACUUUCAGCAACGGAUCUCUUGGCUCUCGCAUCGAUGAAGAACGCAGCGAAAUGCGAUAAGUAAUGUGAAUUGCAGAAUUCAGUGAAUCAUCGAAUCUUUGAACGCACCUUGCGCCCCUUGGUUAUUCCUCGGGGCAUGCCUGUUUGAGUAUCAUGAGCACCUCAACUCUCGUGGUCUUCCACGAUGAGCUUGGACUCUGGAGGUUUGCUGGCCCUGUGGCCGGCUCCUCUCAAAUGAAUCAGCUUUCCGACGUUCGGUGGCAUCGCAAGCGUGAUAACUAUCUACGCUCGUGGUCGUCUGCCGGGUAACCCUCAGCAAUGGAGGUUCGUUGGGGCUUAUAAACGUCUCUCCUCGGCGAGGACAACUUUUGAAUGUUCGAUCUCAAAUCAGGUAGGACUACCCGCUGAACUUAA